AAAUUGAAGAGUUUGAUCAUGGCUCAGAUUGAACGCUGGCGGCAGGCCUAACACAUGCAAGUCGAGCGGUAGCACAGGAGAGCUUGCUCUCUGGGUGACGAGCGGCGGACGGGUGAGUAAUGUCUGGGAAACUGCCUGAUGGAGGGGGAUAACUACUGGAAACGGUAGCUAAUACCGCAUAACGUCUACGGACCAAAGUGGGGGACCUUCGGGCCUCACGCCAUCAGAUGUGCCCAGAUGGGAUUAGCUAGUAGGUGGGGUAAUGGCUCACCUAGGCGACGAUCCCUAGCUGGUCUGAGAGGAUGACCAGCCACACUGGAACUGAGACACGGUCCAGACUCCUACGGGAGGCAGCAGUGGGGAAUAUUGCACAAUGGGCGCAAGCCUGAUGCAGCCAUGCCGCGUGUGUGAAGAAGGCCUUAGGGUUGUAAAGCACUUUCAGCGAGGAGGAAGGGCAGUGUGUUAAUAGCACAUUGCAUUGACGUUACUCGCAGAAGAAGCACCGGCUAACUCCGUGCCAGCAGCCGCGGUAAUACGGAGGGUGCAAGCGUUAAUCGGAAUUACUGGGCGUAAAGCGCACGCAGGCGGUUUGUUAAGUCAGAUGUGAAAUCCCCGCGCUUAACGUGGGAACUGCAUUUGAAACUGGCAAGCUAGAGUCUUGUAGAGGGGGGUAGAAUUCCAGGUGUAGCGGUGAAAUGCGUAGAGAUCUGGAGGAAUACCGGUGGCGAAGGCGGCCCCCUGGACAAAGACUGACGCUCAGGUGCGAAAGCGUGGGGAGCAAACAGGAUUAGAUACCCUGGUAGUCCACGCUGUAAACGAUGUCGAUUUGGAGGUUGUGCCCUUGAGGCGUGGCUUCCGGAGCUAACGCGUUAAAUCGACCGCCUGGGGAGUACGGCCGCAAGGUUAAAACUCAAAUGAAUUGACGGGGGCCCGCACAAGCGGUGGAGCAUGUGGUUUAAUUCGAUGCAACGCGAAGAACCUUACCUACUCUUGACAUCCAGAGAAUUCGCUAGAGAUAGCUUAGUGCCUUCGGGAACUCUGAGACAGGUGCUGCAUGGCUGUCGUCAGCUCGUGUUGUGAAAUGUUGGGUUAAGUCCCGCAACGAGCGCAACCCUUAUCCUUUGUUGCCAGCGAUUCGGUCGGGAACUCAAAGGAGACUGCCGGUGAUAAACCGGAGGAAGGUGGGGAUGACGUCAAGUCAUCAUGGCCCUUACGAGUAGGGCUACACACGUGCUACAAUGGCGUAUACAAAGAGAAGCGAACUCGCGAGAGUAAGCGGACCUCAUAAAGUACGUCGUAGUCCGGAUUGGAGUCUGCAACUCGACUCCAUGAAGUCGGAAUCGCUAGUAAUCGUAGAUCAGAAUGCUACGGUGAAUACGUUCCCGGGCCUUGUACACACCGCCCGUCACACCAUGGGAGUGGGUUGCAAAAGAAGUAGGUAGCUUAACCUUCGGGAGGGCGCUUACCACUUUGUGAUUCAUGACUGGGGUGAAGUCGUAACAAGGUAACCGUAGGGGAACCUGCGGUUGGAUCACCUCCUUA
rnacentral:rRNA from 1 species